GAUGAACGCUGGCGGCGUGCCUAAUACAUGCAAGUCGAGCGAACAGAUGAGGAGUUUGCUCCUCUGACGUUAGCGGCGGACGGGUGAUUAACACGUGGAGAACCUACCUAUUAGACUGGGAUAACUUCGUGAAACCGGAGCUAAUACCGGAUAAUAUAUUGAACCUCAUGGUGCAAUAGUUAAAGACGGUGUUGCUGUCACUUAUAGAUGUAUCCGCGCCUCAUUAGGUAGUUGGUAAGUUAACGGCUUACCAACGCAACGAUGCUUAGCCGACCUGAAAGCAUGAUCGGACCCCCUGUCAUCGACACACGGCCCAGACCCCUACCGUAGGCAGCAGCCGGGAAUCUCCCCCAAUGCACCAAAGCCUGACGGAACAACGCCGCGUGAGUGAUGAAGGUCUUAGGAUCGUAAACCUCUGUUAUUAGGGAAGAACAAAUGUGUAAGUAACUAUGCACGUCUUGACGGUACCUAAUCAGAGAGCCACGCCUAACUACGUA
rnacentral:rRNA from 1 species